CCUACGGGGGGCAGCAGUGGGGAAUAUUGCACAAUGGGGGGAACCCUGAUGCAGCGACGCCGCGUGGGUGAGGAAGGACUUCGGUAUGUAAAGCCCUAUCAGUAGGGAAGAAAAUGACGGUAUCUGACGAAUAAGCACCGGCGAACUACGUGCCAGCAGCCGCGGUAAUACGGAGGGGGCAAGCGUUAUCUGGAAUUACUGGGUGGAAAGGGAGCGGAGGCGGCGUGGCAAGUCUGGCGUGAAAGGCCGGGGCUCAACCCCGGGACUGCAUUGGAAACUGGCAUGCUGGAGUGCCGGAGAGGCAAGCGGAAUUCCUGGUGUAGCGGUGAAAUGCGUAGAGAUUAGGAGGAAUACCGGUGGCGAAGGCGGUCUGCUGGACCAUAACUGACGUUGAGGCUCGAAAGCGUGGGGAGCAAACAGGAUUAGAUACCCUUGUAGUC
rnacentral:rRNA from 1 species